UGGCGGACGGGUGAGUAACGCGUGGGGGAACCUGCCUUGCACCGGGGGAUAACACUUAGAAAUAGGUGCUAAUACCGCAUAAGCGCACAGAGCCGCAUGGCUCGGUGUGAAAAACUCCGGUGGUGCAAGAUGGACCCGCGUCUGAUUAGCUGGUUGGCGGGGUAACGGCCCACCAAGGCGACGAUCAGUAGCCGGCCUGAGAGGGUGAACGGCCACAUUGGGACUGAGACACGGCCCAAACUCCUACGGAAGGCAGCAG
rnacentral:rRNA from 1 species